rnacentral:rRNA from 1 species
CCCUUAGACGUUCUGGGCCGCACGCGCGCUACACUGACCAGUGCAACAAGCAUCCGUCCUUGGCCGACAGGCCCGGGCAAUCUUUGAACGCUGGUCGUGAUGGGGAUAGACUUUUGCAAUUUUUGGUCUUCAACGAGGAAUUCCUAGUAAGCGCAAGUCAUCAACUUGCAUUGAUUACGUCCCUGCCCUUUGUACACACCGCCCGUCGCACCUACCGAUUGAAUGGUCCGGUGAAGCCUCCGGAUUGGCGCGCACCUCGGUGCCGCCGAGAAGUUGGCUAAACCUUACCAUUUAGAGGAAGGUGAAGUCGUAACA